CCACGAUGCCAGUUUCAGAGAAAUCGUUAGACGGAUUGGCUCUUCAUCUCUCACCUGGCAUUUUAACAAUGUUUCUAUUCGAAGAAUACUUUUGAGUUUCUGGGAACUGGUGAUCACAUCUGUGAUUUGAAAGUCGACUUACUUUUUGAAAAGCCUUUUAUUUAAUUAAGCAGCAAAAACAAACCUGUGUUUCCACCAGAUGCUUAUCACUGUAAGAGUAACAAGGAGACCCAAGAACUGCUCCCUCCCUGACUUUCAAGAACUUACUAUUUUGAUGAUUCCAGAUGACACUCAUGGUGUCUCUGGAUCAAGAGUGCCUGAACUGCAGAAAGUUAAUACAGCUGCUGGACGGGAUCUCCAGAAUCUCCGGAAGGUCUAUGACUCAAAGUCUUCUUCCCUUGAAUGGCACUACUGGAGUCUAAAUUCUCCAAAGUAAAUACAAGGCAGGAUGACGGCUGAGAACAACUCACAACUGGCACAUCAAAUGACCUCCACAAGGCCUCAGAAAUCAGUUAAUAACCCUUUCACAUCGUCUUAGAAUAAACCAAAGAGACACAUGGAGGAAGUUAAGAAGAAAGGAGUUGCUACAUCACCUGUCCCUGAAAUCGAAGGAUCCCAGCAUGGAAAGAGUUGACACUCUCUUGGGGAAAGGGAGAGAGAAUUAAGUCCAAGCCCUAGACUUGAAAUCCAGGACCAAGCCUUCCAGAGUGGAUCCCAGAGCUGAGCAGAGGCCCAUGAGCAAACCCCCUGGACACAUGGGUACACUGAGCCUCUGGAACUGCCUUAGCUGUCCAUGAAGAUGACCCAGACCACAGAGGUCACCACCAACUGGCCACCAACUGUGUGCUUGGGGACUCGGCACCCACAGCACAGCCUGGCCGCUGCUGACCGUGCUCCUGCAUACUGUGCCUAGGGCAGAGCUGCCCAUUCCUGGUGCCUCCGUGCGACUCCCGGCUCCACUCCAGCUCCCGGUUGGCUGCACCCAGCUGGCAGAGUGGGCUGACGGCACCUGAACUCGGCUUAUGCCAAUAUAUCCACCAGGUCUGGUGCCAGCUUCUGGUUGGUUCAUCUGCCAUUCACAGAGCUGGCUUUGCACUUGUUCAGAAAUUAAACUCAUGACUUGCCAGCAGUACUGCUUCAUUUAAAACAAAAUGUGAAAAAAAGUGCAUGUAAAAUCUGUGUGGACCCAAAUGGGUGGGAGAAAUUUUCUAGAUAAGGACUGUUUAAAAGCAAAUAGGAAUGAGUUAAUUAUAUUUGUAUUAUGUAUAUACUUCUCGGUGUAUGAAUUUAAAAACUACUCAUGAUGAAGAUCAUUGACCACUAACAAAGACUUUCUUCUCCUUCCUUUUUAUCUUUCUUCCUC